rnacentral:rRNA from 1 species
GACGUAGGGGCGCGAGCGUUGUCCGGAUUUAUUGGGCGUAAAGAGCUCGUAGGCGGCUUGUCGCGUCGUCCGUGAAAACCUGCAGCUCAACUGCAGGCUUGCGGUCGAUACGGGCAGGCUAGAGUUCGGUAGGGGAGACUGGAAUUCCUGGUGUAGCGGUGAAAUGCGCAGAUAUCAGGAGGAACACCGGUGGCGAAGGCGGGUCUCUGGGCCGAUACUGACGCUGAGGAGCGAAAGCGUGGGGAGCGAACAGG